rnacentral:rRNA from 1 species
AUUGAACGCUGGCGGCAGGCCUAACACAUGCAAGUCGAGCGGUAACAGGCAGAAGCUUGCUUCUUUGCUGCCGAGUGGCGGACGGGUGAGUAAUGUCUGGGAAACUGCCUGAUGGAGGGGGAUAACUACUGGAAACGGUAGCUAAUACCGCAUAACGUCGCAAGACCAAAGAGGGGGACCUUCGGGCCUCUUGCCAUCGCAUGUGCCCAGAUGGGAUUAGCUAGUAGGUGGGGUAACGGCUCACCUAGGCGACGAUCCCUAGCUGGUCUGAGAGGAUGACGAGCCACUCUGGAACUGAGACACGGUCCAGACUCCUACGGGAGGCAGCAGUGGGGAAUAGUGCACAAUGGGCGCAAGCCUGAUGCAGCCAUGCCGCGUGUAUGAAGAAGGCCUUCGGGUUGUAAAGUACUUUCAGCGGGGAGGAAGGGAGUAAAGUUAAUACCUGUGCUCAGUGACGGUACCCGCAGAAGAAGCACCGGCUAACUCCGUG